AACGAACGCUGGCGGCAUGCCUAACACAUGCAAGUCGAACGAGAGCUUCGUGUCUAGUUGCUCACGGGUGCGUCACGCGUCGGAACCUGCCCUUAUGCUUCGAAUAACUCUCUUACAGGGGUGCUAAUACCGGAUAAUGUCUUCGGACCAAACAUUCAUCGCCCUUGGGUGGGCCCGCGUUGUAUGAGCCUGUUGGGAGUGUAAAAGCCUAUCAAGGCUACGAUCCAUAGCUGGUCUGAGAGAAUGCGCAGCCACACUCGGGGGGGGACCCGGCCCAGACUAUUACGCGAGGCAGCAGUGGGGAAUAUUGGACAAUGGGCGGAAGCAUGAUGCAGCAAGGCCGGGUGAGUGAUGAAGUCGUUAGGGUUGUACAGCUCUUUUACCCGGGAUGAUAAUGACAGUACCGGGAGAAUAAGCGCCGGCUAACUCCGUG
rnacentral:rRNA from 1 species